rnacentral:rRNA from 1 species
CCCCUAGAUGUUCUGGGCCGCACGCGCGCUACACUGAACAGUUCAACAAGUCUUAACCUUGGCCGAUAGGUCUGGGUAAUCUUUGAACGCUGUUCGUGAUUGGGAUAGACCUUUGCAAUUAUGGGUCUUCAACGAGGAAUUCCUAGUAAACGCAAGUCAUCAGCUUGCAUUGAUUACGUCCCUGCCCUUUGUACACACCGCCCGUCGCUCCUACCGAUUGAGUGCUUCGGUGAAUAACUCGGACUGUAGCAGUUCGCAGUUCCUGCGUCUGCCGCGGAAAGUUUAGUGAACCUCAGCACUUAGAGGAAGGAGAAGUCGUAACA